AUUGAACGCUGGCGGCAUGCCUUACACAUGCAAGUCGAACGGCAGCACGGGGGCAACCCUGGUGGCGAGUGGCGAACGGGUGAGUAAUGCAUCGGAACGUGCCCAGUAGUGGGGGAUAACCCGGCGAAAGCCGGGCUAAUACCGCAUACGACCCAAGGGUGAAAGCGGGGGACCGUAAGGCCCCGCGCUAUUGGACCGGCCGAUGUCUGAUUAGCUAGUUGGCGGGGUAAGAGCCCACCAAGGCGACGAUCAGUAGCUGGUCUGAGAGGACGACCAGCCACACUGGGACUGAGACACGGCCCAGACUCCUACGGGAGGCAGCAGUGGGGAAUUUUGGACAAUGGGCGCAAGCCUGAUCCAGCCAUGCCGCGUGCGGGAAGAAGGCCUUCGGGUUGUAAACCGCUUUUGGCAGGAACGAAACGGCGCAAGCCAAUACCUUGCGCUAAUGACGGUACCUGCAGAAUAAGCACCGGCUAACUACGUGCCAGCCGCCGCGGUAAGAC
rnacentral:rRNA from 1 species